GUAGGUGGCAAGCGUUGUCCGGAAUUAUUGGGCGUAAAGCGCGCGCAGGCGGUUCUUUAAGUCUGAUGUGAAAGCCCACGGCUCAACCGUGGAGGGUCAUUGGAAACUGGAGAACUUGAGUGCAGAAGAGGAAAGCGGAAUUCCACGUGUAGCGGUGAAAUGCGUAGAGAUGUGGAGGAACACCAGUGGCGAAGGCGGCUUUCUGGUCUGUAACUGACGCUGAGGCGCGAAAGCGUGGGGGGGAGCAAACAGGAUUAGAUACCCUGGUAGUCCACGCCGUAAACGAUGAGUGCUAAGUGUUAGGGGGUUUCCGCCCCCCCCUUAGUGCUGCAGCUAACGCAUUAAGCACUCCGCCUGGGAGUACGGCCGCAAGGCUG
rnacentral:rRNA from 1 species